rnacentral:rRNA from 1 species
CUGGCUCAGAUUGAACGCUGGCGGCAUGCCUUACACAUGCAAGUCGAACGGUAGAGCAGCAAUGCUUGAGAGUGGCGAACGGGUGAGUAAUAUAUCGGAACGUGCCCAAUCGUGGGGGAUAACGUAGAGAAAUUUACGCUAAUACCGCAUACGAUCUAAGGAUGAAAGCGGGGGACUCGCAAGGGCCUCGCGCGAUUGGAGCGGCUGAUAUCAGAUUAGGUUGUUGGUGAGGUAAAAGCUCACCAAGCCGACGAUCUGUAGCUGGUUUGAGAGAACGACCAGCCACACUGGGACUGAGACACGGCCCAGACUCCUACGGGAGGCAGCAGUGGGGAAUUUUGGACAAUGGGCGAAAGCCUGAUCCAGCAAUGCCGCGUGCAGGAAGAAGGCCUUCGGGUUGUAAACUGCUUUUGUACGGAACGAAACGGUCUGCUUUAAUACAGUGGGCUAAUGACGGUAC